GGUCAGAUGGCCGAGUGGUCUAAGGCGGUAGACUUAAGUUCUACUGACGCAAGUCGCGCGAGUUCGAACCUCGCUCUGAUCA